rnacentral:lncRNA from 1 species
UUGUCAUUGAAGUAAGUUAAUAUUAAUGUUGUUGGUAUCAUUAUUACUAUGAAACGUUGAAUUUGUUACAAAUGUUAUGGUAUUAUUAUUCCAUUUGUUGAAUAUGUUCUAUGUAUGGUACAAGGAAAUUAUAUUAUUGUAUAUGAGUGUCAUUGUAGUAAGUUAGCGAUAAGGUUGUUAGAAUCAUUGUUAUUAAGAUAAAAUAUUUUUAUAAUAUUUGACAUGUAUUAUUUGGUAGGUU